UACGGAGGGUGCAAGCGUUGCUCAGAAUUAUUGGGCGUAAAGGGUAGGUAGGUGGUCUCAUUUGUCUGGGGUGAAAGCCUUGAGCUUAACUCAAGAAGUGCCCCAGAAACGGUGAGACUAGAGUCCUGGAGAGGGUCGUGGAAUUCCCGGUGUAGCGGUGAAAUGCGUAGAGAUCGGGAGGAACACCAGAGGCGAAGGCGGCGACCUGGACAGGUACUGACACUCAACUACGAAAGCGUGGGGAGCAAACAGG
rnacentral:rRNA from 1 species